GGCACCUUCCUCCAGGAGCGGGCCUUCUCGGGCUUUGCCGGAACGCACGCGUACAGCCCGCCCGAGUGGAUCUGGCUGGGUUACUACCACGGCCACGCGGCCACCAUCUGGUCCCUGGGCGUGCUGCUUUACGUCAUGGUCUGCGGCAGCCUCCCCUUCCAGGAUGACCCUGACAUUGUGCUGGGGAAGGUCUUCUUCCAGCGGCAGGUCUCUCCAGAGCUCCAGCACCUGAUCCGAUGGUGUUUGGCCAAGCACCCUGCGGACAGGCCGGAGCUGGAGGAGAUCUCGCGCCACCCUUGGG
rnacentral:lncRNA from 1 species